UGCGUAGGUGGUGAGGUAAGUCCGAUGUGAAAGCUCCGAGCUCAACUCGGAAAUGGCAUUGGAAACUACCUGGCUAGAGGAUUGGAGGGGGGACUGGAAUUCUGGGUGUAGCAGUGAAAUGCGUAGAUAUCCAGAGGAACACCAGUGGCGAAGGCGAGUCCCUGGACAAUUCCUGACACUGAGGCACGAAAGCUAGGGGAGCAAACA
rnacentral:rRNA from 1 species